UACGAAGGGGGCUAGCGUUGUUCGGAAUCACUGGGCGUAAAGGGCGCGUAGGCGGCUAGAUAAGUCGGGGGUGAAAGCCUGUGGCUCAACCACAGAAUUGCCUUCGAUACUGUCUGGCUUGAGACCGGAAGAGGUUAGUGGAACUGCGAGUGUAGAGGUGAAAUUCGUAGAUAUUCGCAAGAACACCUGUGGCGAAGGCGGCUGACUGGUCCGGUUCUGACGCUGAGGCGCGAAAGCGUGGGGAGCAAACAGG
rnacentral:rRNA from 1 species